rnacentral:rRNA from 1 species
GGGCCCGCACAAGCGGUGGAGCAUGUGGUUUAAUUCGAUGAUACGCGAGGAACCUUACCAGGGCUUAAAUGUAAGUUGCAUGGAUCAGAGAUGAUCCUUUCUUCGGACCACUUACAAGGUGCUGCAUGGUUGUCGUCAGCUCGUGCCGUGAGGUGUCAGGUUAAGUCCUAUAACGAGCGCAACCCCUAUCGUUAGUUGCCAGCAAGUUAAGUUGGGUACUCUAGUGAGACUGCCGGUGCAAACCGAGAGGAAGUGGGGAUGACGUCAAAUCAUCACGGCCCUUACGUCCUGGGCUACACACGUGCUACAAUGGCCGGUACAGAGAGCAGCCACCACGCGGUGAA